rnacentral:rRNA from 1 species
UACGUAGGGACCAAGCGUUGUUCGGAUUUACUGGGCGUAAAGGGCGCGUAGGCGGCAAUUCAAGUCAGCUGUGAAAUCUCCGAGCUUAACUCGGAACGGUCAGCUGAUACUGUUUGUCUAGAGUACAGAAGGGGCAAUCGGAAUUCUUGGUGUAGCGGUGAAAUGCGUAGAUAUCAAGAGGAACACCUGAGGUGAAGACGGGUUGCUGGGCUGAUACUGACGCUGAGGCGCGAAAGCUAGGGUAGCAAACGGG